rnacentral:rRNA from 1 species
GAAAUGCGAUACUUGGUGUGAAUUGCAGAAUCCCGUGAACCAUCGAGUCUUUGAACGCAAGUUGCGCCCGAGGCCUCCUGGUCGAGGGCACGUCUGCCUGGGUGUCACGCAUCGUCGCCCCCACUCCCCUCGGCUCACGAGGGCGGGGGCGGAUACUGGUCUCCCGCGCGCUCCCGCCCGUGGUUGGCCUAAAAUCGAGUCCUCGGCGACGGUCGCCACGACAAGCGGUGGUUGAGAGACCCUCGGACACGGUCGUGCGCGUGCCUGUCGCCCCCGGGACCUCCCGGACCCCCGAGCAUUGGCUUUCAAGGAUGCUCUCGUUGCGACCCCAGGUCAGGCGGGACUACCCGCUGAGUUUAA